CUCACAGUUUGGGGCAUGGCCUAGCUGGGUCCUCUUAUUCAGGGUCUCUCACAAGAGGAUAGUCAAGGUGUCAGCCAGGGCUUUAGUCAAGGGGAGUAUCUGCUACCACAUUCAUUCAAACCUAUCAGGAUUCAAUUCCUUGAGUGUUGUUGGACUGUUGGCCUCAGUUCCUACAUGGAAACUUGCUUCAUCAAAGCCUGCAAGUUGAGAAGGCAAAUAAAAUGGUCUUCUAGCAAAUUUGACCUGGAAACUCCUGGAGGACACUCCGCAGACCUCUCACCUCUUCCUCUCUGAUGGAUGUUCACUGUAAGACUGAGACCAGGAUUUAGAGGUAGGGAAGGAAAUUUUCCACUAUAUAUACACUGAUGCACCUUUGGAUUUUGAAACAUUUGCAGAUAUAACUUAUUACAAAAGGUAAGAGAUUAAAAUUAAUAAUAAAAGUGGGAGGCAAUGUUGCAUUAAUUGAAAGAGUAUGCACUUUGGGAUGGGACAUGUGUAUAGGUGCCCAGUGAUUCUGGGCAAAUGUCUUAAUCUCUCUGAGCCUGUUUCCUCUUCCAUAAAAUGGAGAUUGUCCCACCUCCCUGGAAGAGCUGUGAUGUUACACCUGGUGCAACCAUUAAAGUACCCAGCACACAGUGGGAACCAUGAUCUUAUAACGCAAGGCCAAUGGUGCUAUUAUCUUCAGCUAUCCUGCUGGAGUUUUAGAUGGUUUAGCUUAGAUUUUCCCUCUUCCUUUCCUCCCUUUACCUGCCAGUGGCAUGGAGAUUUUCCAGUGCUGAGAUGCUGAGCAUUUGUCUUAGGUGAAGGAAAAAAGCCAGGGUCUUGAAAAGUGUGCAAGAUGGAACUCAGGCAGCCUCCCCAAUGGUGAUUUUGAUGGAGUUGAGCAAAAACGAAGCCAUAUAAGGAAAGUGCUUAUGGCCAUUUAGCCAGGCUCCAUCCUCAUCCUCGUGUAAGUUCUCAUAUUGGGAAAGGGAUUUGAGCAAACUAGUGGAGUGGCUGAGACACUGGGCAAAACCCACAUGAAACAGUGGAUUGCCUUAUAGAUUAAGGUAUCUGAGGAUAUGGCUUUGUUUUUUCAUUCUUGCAUCCCAAAAGCUACCACAAAGCAGACACCUUAGAAAGAAUAAUUAGGUCACUGAUCCAUCCAACUCUCCAAUUUCUCAUGAACCUUGGAAUUCUUCAACUGAUUCAUCCACAAUGAAUUUCCCAGUUAUAGACUCAACCUUGCACCCCACGCCACCCCAAAACACAGGUGGGUUUAUUUAUAAAUCUGUUCUUCUUAGGGAGGCUUCUGGAUGAGGAAGCAGCAGUGACUAGUGGUUAAAGUUCCAGGCACUAAAGUCAGACAUCUAGAUGUGAAAUCACAGUUGGGCCACUUCCUAGCUCUGUGACCUUGGCCAAGUCAUUCCAUCUCUCCAGAUCUUCAUUUCUUCAUGUGUACAAUGGAACAACAACAACAAAGUGCUAAUAUAAUUGGGUGCUUCUGUGCCAUGCACUGAAUGAGUGCUUCAUACCUAUUCAGUAUUAAUGGCACAUUUCAUAUGGUUGCUAUGCAAACUGGGUAAAUGCUCAGCACAGAGACUCGCAUACAGUAAGCACUCAAUAAAUGCGACUUGUUGCUAUUAUUACUCUCCCACUGGGGCCUGAAGGCUUGAUUAGCUUCUAUUUUAUGGUCAAGUAAUAGCAUGAUACCUAAGACAACUUCCCUCUACCCAAAUAGAUGGUUAUUUUUAACAGAGAAUAAAAGCUCAGCCAAAAAUCACAGAUAUUGAUGUUUUGCCUUUGUGUGAAUACUGAUAUCCACAUUUUUAGCAACAGGUGUUAUUGCAAUAAUACUAAAUACAUUUGCAAAAAUGUCUUUUGGUCUAAUGUGAGAUAAACACUAAUUGUCAUCCCUUUUAGCAGUGUCUGCUGUCUUUAGGGAUUCACAAGUUAAAACACUCACGUGGAAAAGCCAUACUCUUCUUCAGAAGGAACUCGCUGUCAUAGUUGUUUUUGAAAGCAUGAUUGAAUAGCAUUUUGCUUUGUUUAUAAAGAUGCCAGCCAUUGGCAUAUGCCAGGCAGAAAACUGGAGGCAGAAGCCCCUCUCUCCACUUUGGAGCCCCUAUACCUCACACACCAUCCCACCCUGAUGAUGAACCCAUACUCACUAAAUUGCUCCUAACCCUUCUCAUCUCAUAUUGUGCAUUACCACCUCCACUACAUUGCAGUAUUAAUUUGAUUUAUGGCCCAGCCGCCCCACCUGAGGCCCAAGAAGAUGGCUCCCCUCCGAUCGCUUCCAUCAGCAGUGUAAGUGGAAGGUAAUAAAAACCCAUACGUGGCUCAGACUUUCAAUUUCAAUUGGAAAUUGAAACGGUGCAAUAUGAUUAAAGUUUAAUCUGCAUCAUCAAUAAACAUGUGUGCUAAAGCAAUGAGGGCUGCUUCACCUCCUGGUCGCAGGCAUGGAUUUGAUGAGAGCGUGUCUGCCGUCUCUUGUCUAAACGAUGUGUUUAUGAGGGUGGGGGGUGCACACACAACAUAUGUGCAUGGGCUGCGGGGAGUUGAUAUAUUUGUACAAAGAGAUGAAAAUCAUCAUAUGGACAUGUUUGGGAGGAAAAGGUUGCUCAUGCUCAGAUGAAACUGGAUUCAAUCAACAGCUCAAUGAGGAUUCGCUAAGGGUGCAAUGGUUUUUCAAGGAUUGCUAAUUAAUAUUCAUGUAUUCAUGGAUUUAUUUGUAAAGUAUUCAUUGAGUGCCUACUGUGUGUCUGACCGUAUGCUGGGUCCUGGGGUCGUAACUGUGAAGGGGAAAAACAGAUACCAUUUCUGCUCUCAGGGAGCUUAUAGUAAUGGUUGAAAGGGAUGUCAGUCAAAUAAUUAGGCAAUUAAAUGUAAAACUGCUCCUGUAUGAAGUGCUCACAAUAAAGAGAUUUAUAAUCCUCUGAGUGCUGUCAAGAAGGAGAUGUGAAAAGAAAUAAAGAAGAAGAUGUCACCUAUCCUAUAAGAUCAAGGAGAGCUUCCUGGAGAUGGUAAAGAUUGAGCUAAAGUUCAAAGAGUAAGUUGUGUGAAGUUAACUGGGGGUGGGGGUAGGGACAGAGUUUGGGAGAUGGUACAGACACAAGAGAGACCCAGCCACAGGACACUUUAUAUGCAAAGGCUGGGGGCAAGAGGAAGCAUAGCAAAUCUGAGCCAGGGUUGAAAGAAGGCAGAGUGGCUGGACUAGAGAGGAAGAGGCUCAAGAUGAGUCUGGAGAUUGUAGAGAGAAACCACACAGGACAUUGUAGGAUGUGGCAAAGGGUCUAGAUCUUUUUUCCCCCUAAGUGCAAGGGGAAGCUAUCAGAGGGUUUUAAUCAGGGACACUAUGUGGUCUAAUUAAGAGGAUGCUGCAUAAAGAAAGUAAUGGAGGAAGAAGGAAUAGAUGGACAGGUACUGAUGUGCAAGCUAUUUCUGUGGUCCAGAGGGAAGGUGAGGAUAAUUUGGACUCACUGAUGGCAGUGGAAAUGAGAAGUAGACACAUUUUCUACAGGGUGGAAGUCAAUGCCUUCUCUUCAAAUACACAAUAAAUUGACUCAUCUCAUCUCCAGUCUUACGGUCCUUACUCAAAAUAUCUCUAUUGCCUCCAUUAAUUCCCCCAGCCUCCUGUUCUCCAAGAAAACAGGCCACUCAACCUGCACUUUAGCAACUUUGGCUUCUGCUUCAAACUUACUUAUGCCUUUACCCAUCCUUACUUAUAUCUGUUCCUCCUGAGGGUAAAAGGUAGACCACCUUAGCCUUGACCUCCAGGUCUUCACACACAUUGUUCCUUCUGCAAGAACACUCUUUCCAUAGGCCCCUCAAGUCUCAGCUCAGAGCCUUUCUUUCAGAAGUCUUCUCUGACCCUCUCUAAAGACCUGAGUUAGAAACUACAUAUCAGCAUACAAUAACAGCCUGCUUAGUUGGCCUGAAGCAACAGGUAGACUGUGAAAACAUUGACAGGAGGGCCAGGCCUUGUUUCUCAUUAUAUCCUCCAGGACCUUGGAUAGUGGCACAUGGACCAGGCUCAAUAAAUACCUGUUUAUGAAGACUGAAGAACUGUUCCUUCUCUCUAAAGCCAACUCCUUUCCUUAUGCUAUUGACCCCAACUCUUCCCACUUCAUUGAGACCUUGUUGCAACAAUUUUCCCUUCUGUCUUAUAUGUUCUAAUUCACUUCUUAACUAGAUCCUCCCUCACAACAAGAAAGGUAUGCUUCUUCUAAGAGCACUUUCAUUCAAUCCUGGCUUACCCCCAAGAGUAGAAGCUUCCCCUAAGCUUCUGUUCAAACUUCUAGAAAUCACAAGCCAUACACUCUACUUCCUCUCACCUUGCUUCCUUCACCGUUUAGUUUCCCAUUCUCACAGUCCCACUGAAAUACUCUCGAGAGCCCCGAGGACCUCUCAAUGCUAGAUUCAAUGGUCACUUUUCAGCCUUCAUUCUACUUGACUCUUCAGUAACAUUCGCUGCUGUUGACCACCUGCCUUCUGCUUGAAACUCUCCUACAGUUUGAUUUUCACAGUCAUAUUUCCUGGCUCUUCACUUAAAUCUUUGAAAUUUCUCAUUUAUUACCCUCUAAUGAACUUUCUGUUUUUUUUUUUUCAUGCUGUUUCACAGAUGAAUAAACUAAAGAUGCAAUAAGCCAUAUGAUGGUGAAUAUGUUUCUUCAAGAGUCCUCAUCUGAUGGAAAUAUACCAAAGUACUUUUGCAUGAAAUAUCAUAUCUCAGAACUUCUUGAAAUACUCCAGAUGUGCUCAUGUAUUACUCAUGUAAUUAAAAAGGCAAAGGUACAUUAGGCACCUAUUGUGAGCCUGGAGCUGUUCUUGGUACUGAAGAAACACCAGAGAAUGAAUUGGACCUGGACCCACCUUCACAAAAGUUCUCAAAGAAGUGGAGAUGAGACAAGAGAGUGUGAUGACCUUGCUCAGUCUUGGAGGUGGCGAGGAGGAGGUUCAGAGAAGACACCCUGGAAAAAGUAACAUUUAAGUUAAGACCUGGAGGAUAAGAAGUAGUUAGCAUUCAA